ACACACACACACACACCUUAGUUUUGUUUCCUAUUGUUGUAAUAAAAUACCCAAUUAAAACAGAAAACCUUAAGGAAGGAUUUAUUGUGUCCCACAAUUCCAGGCUACAGUCAGUAGGAACCUGAAGCAGCUAGUUACAUCACAGUCAAGAGGAGAGAGAACAGAUAAUGCAUGGCUGCGUGUAUUCAGCUCACUCACUCCACUCUUACCCAGCCCAGACCCAAACCCAAGCCUAGGGGAUGACGCCGCCAACAAUGGGCAGGUCUUAGCACCUUAGGUAAAGUUGUCAAGGUAAUCCUCCACAGUCAGACUUGUCCACAGAGUAACCUGAUCUAGACACUCCGUUACCAAGACUUUCUUCCCAGGUCAUCCUAGAUCAGGUUAACAACUAGAAACCUAAACUAAUCUCCAUACCUUGUCAUUGACCUAUGAGCAGUCUUAAGGUAUUGACGGCUGAGUCUGAAUACUAAAACCUACCGGGUAAGGAUGAGAUAGUAAUCAUUUCUUAUUACAACAUAUCACAACUAGACACUAGAGAGAAAAAUACCAGCCAAAAAGCAGCUAUUAUUUUAUUACCACCAUAAAAUUGAGAUGAUUUCUGCAAUGAGCGGUCAGACGUAUUUUUAGGUAACUGAGGAAAAAGUUUGACUAAUUUACUGUGAGCCAAAUUCUUUUCCCGUCGGGCGGAAAGCAGCCUAGCGGAGACGGUGAUUUCAGUGUGUCUUAAUUAGGUGAUUUCACUGAGAUCGCUAUUCUUGGUUGGAUUUGGCUUCAGACUGGUAGAACCUGGGCCAAGAAAUGCUUUAAACUUAUUUUUUUUUGAAAUUGUACUAGUUUAAUUUAAAAAAUGUGUUUCAUGUGUUGACUUCCUAUGCCAUUAGCCUAACAUUUCCUGGACCUUCAGUUCUUGAUGUCUGGCACAUGCAGCAUCCAUCCUUUUCAACGGUGGGCAGUUGGCAGGGGGAAAAUACCGAAUUUUCGAAGGAGUUCAUAAAAGUUUCUGUUUUCGAGAUAAGGGAAUAAUUUGCAGCUUCUGAGUAUGUUUUGAAUAUUAUUCGGCUUUAAUUGUAUCUUUAUGAUCCAAAGUCAAGACUUUCCCAAACUGUACGUAAAGAUUCUAAGCACAGAGAGUUUAAAAAAGACUUACUUAUGUGCAUGUGAGUAUGUGCACUGCAUGUAUGUAUGUGCACAUUGUGCCUGUGUGUCUGGUGUCCAAAGAGGCCAGAAGAGAGUGCCAGAUCCCUGGGAACUGGAGUUACAGCUGUCUAAGGGCUGCCCUAUGGGUGCUGGGAACCGAACCUGGGUCCUCUACAAGAGCAGCAAAUGUUCAUAACUUCUGAAUUCUCUCCAGCUCCAAGAAUUCUUUUAAUACUACUGAAGCACAGAGGUUUGUAUCAAAUAAAUAUAAAAUAAAUUAACUAGUUUGAUGAAGUAAACAUGCCUUGGCACAAUGGAUAGUCUGUGUUAUGGUCUCAGCUAAGUACCUGGAAAUCAAUCCCAAUUUUAUAUUAUUAGAAAUCUGCCACUGGUUAUAUUUCAUAUAAGAUUAUAAACUAGGCAAUAAGUAAUUGUUUAGUAUUCUAAGAGGUAUUAACAACCUUUAUAAAAAAUUUUUAUCCUUCUGUGGGGUACCCACUGUGCCUGAGAAAAAUAUUAAUGUGCAAGCUGGACUAUCAUUGAGUAACAAUAUAUUAUAUAAAAAGAUUCUAUGUAUACACAACCUUAAAACAACCUUCAUUUAGUUGCAUUUAUUUAGUUUGGAGGCAGAGACUCCUCUGAUAGCCCAGGCUUUCCUUGGAUUGCUUGGGUGAUCUUCCUGCCUUUUUUUUAAUUCAGUGUUGGGAUCCAGGGGUCACCCACAUGUCUGGUUUAUGAAUUAAUUUUCCUCUCCAAGAGCUUGCUGUGUACGAUUCCAUACACUUAGUGAAGAAAAACAUUAUUAAAAUAGGUGUGGGGCUACAGGCCAUAAUCCCAGCACUUUGGAUGUCAAGGCACUGGGGAGUAGGAGUUCAAUGUUAUGCUUAGCCACGUAGCAGUUCAAGGCCAGCCUGAACUACACGAAACCCUGCCCUUCUCUCAAAAGAAAGAAAAGAAAGGGAAAAACAAACAAAAAACAAAGC
rnacentral:lncRNA from 1 species